CUUGUGUUCUUUUUCUCUUCUUCUUGUUCUCUUCUUCUUCUUCCUUUUCAUUUUUCCUCUUUCUUCUCCUCUUGUCCCCUUCUUCGGGCUAAAUUAGCUAACUAUGCCUUUUUGGAGCUAAUUAUCUCAUUUCGAGGAUAAUUAGGUAAGUAUAGCUCAUGUUUUACUAAAUAGACCAUUUUGUAGCUAAGUAAGCUAAUUAUGUCAUUUAGGUGGAAGCCUAGCUAAC
rnacentral:lncRNA from 1 species